AGCCUGAACGCUGGCGGCGUGGCUAAGACAUGCAAGUCGAACGGAUGUAGCAAUACAUCAGUGGCGAACGGGUGAGUAAUGUAUCGCUAACGUGCCCUGGACUCUGGGAUAGCUACUCGAAAGGGUAGGUAAUACCAGAUAAUAUGACCUGGUUGCAUGACCGGGUUCUCAAAGGUCCGCUGGUUCGGGAGCGGGCGAUAUCGUAUCAGCUAGUUGGUAGGGUAAUGGCCUACCAAGGCAACGACGCGUAGCCGGACUGAGAGGUUGGCCGGCCACAUUGGGACUGAGACACUGCCCAGACUCCUACGGGGGGCUGCAGUAACGAAUCUUCCGCAAUGCACGAAAGUGUGACGGAGCGACGCCGCGUGUGGGACGAAGUUCUUCGGAAUGUAAACCACUGUCAGGGGUUAGAAAGUUCUGAUCAACCCCAGAGGAAGGCACGGCUAACUCUGCGCCAGCAGCCGCGGUAA
rnacentral:rRNA from 1 species